UCCUUGUUUCCAAGGCAGUCCCGCUAAAGUGCUCAACUAAAUGUAGCAACUAGCGGCAAGGGUUGCGCUCGUUAAAGGACUUAACCCAACAUCUCACGACACGAGCUGACGACAGCCAUGCAGCACCUGUUAAUGUGCUUGAGUUACCCCAAGAAAUACUAUCUCUAGCAUCGUCACAAAAAUGUCAAGCCUGGGUAAGGUUACUCGCGUAGUGUCGAAUUAAACCACAUGUUCCACCGCUUGUGCGGACCCCCGUCAAUUUCUUUGAGUUUUAAUCUUGCGAUCGUACUACUCAGGCGGAUCACUUAACGCGUUAGCUUCGACACGGAUCCUCCGAAGAAGACCCACAUCUAGUGAUCAUCGUUUACAGCGUGGACUAC
rnacentral:misc_RNA from 1 species